rnacentral:snoRNA from 1 species
AAUCCAUGGUGCUGGCAUUUUUGAAUUAACAUUUUGAAUCGUUCCCAUGCCUCAUAGAAACUUUCUCCCUCCAUCUAUCUAAAAACAACAAUCUCCCUUAUUAGUAAU